rnacentral:rRNA from 1 species
GACGAACGCUGGCGGCGUGCUUAACACAUGCAAGUCGAACGGAAAGGCCCUGCUUUUGUGGGGUGCUCGAGUGGCGAACGGGUGAGUAACACGUGAGUAACCUGCCCUUGACUUUGGGAUAACUUCAGGAAACUGGGGCUAAUACCGGAUAGGAGCUCCUGCUGCAUGGUGGGGGUUGGAAAGUUUCGGCGGUUGGGGAUGGACUCGCGGCUUAUCAGCUUGUUGGUGGGGUAGUGGCUUACCAAGGCUUUGACGGGUAGCCGGCCUGAGAGGGUGACCGGCCACAUUGGGACUGAGAUACGGUCCAGACUCCUACGGGAGGCAGCAGUAGGGAAUAUUGCACAAUGGGCGGAAGCCUGAUGCAGCAACGCCGCGUGCGGGAUGACGGCCUUCGGGUUGUAAACCGCUUUCGCCUGUGACGAAGCGUGAGCGACGGUAAUGGGUAAAGAAGCACCGGCUAACUACGUG